rnacentral:tRNA from 1 species
GUAGUGGUAGUUCAGUGGUAGAGUUCUCACCUUCCAUGUGGGAGACCUGGGUUCGAUUUCCAGCCAGUGCA